GUUAUGUAUUGAUAGAAAUAGCGGCUCCCGGCAGCCUCGCUGGGGCUGAAUUAAUGUGUUGCUAUUUUUGGAGCCCCAGUGUUUCCAGGGGAAACCUAAUGACGCAAUGACGUCAAUGCAGGUCAAUAGCAGACUGGAGGAAUUGAGCGCUUCCAUUACAUUUUGCAGUAUUUUCACAAACAGAAAGGACAAAAUGGAUGUGUUUUAAAUGCAUCGCGGGAAGGUGGGGGGAUUUUAAUGUUACAAAGUGUAACAUUGAUCGGAGAGGAGGAAAACAGUAAAAAGAUGUCCAAGGUAUUUUUAUAGAAAAUUUUCUCUAUUCCCAGUGGAUAUUGUAAAAUACCACAGUGUCCCGGAACACUGGAUUCACGACAAGAUGAAAGAGGAUUUCAUGUGUUCUCCUGCUGGACCAGGAUGAGUGCAGGGUCACGGGGAGCCAGAGCCAAACCUGGCAACACAGGGCAUAAGGCUGGAGGGGGAGGGGACAUACCCACAACAGGACACCAGUCUGUCGCAAGCCACCCCAAGCGGGACUCAAACCCCAGACCCACCAGGUAGCAGGACCUGGGCCAACCCACUGCACCACCGCAUUCUCCGCACAAAUUAAAUACUGAAAUGUAAAUCAUAAUCCAUUUUAUCUAUUGGCGUGUUCUUUCAAAUUCAGACCUUCUGAAAGCAGACACAGUGAUUUGUAUGUAGUGGAGAAUUAAGAAAUCAGAAGUGUGUGUUUUGCACAGGAAAGUAUCAUGUGUGGUAAUAAUGGUAAGUCUUGAUUAACAACCUCCCUUCCAUAAAUGAAAUGAUGGUGUGAACAGGAAAUGGAAAGCUAAAUCUGCGGGUGGGUACCGGGUAUAAAGAAUAACGUACACUGCUUUCCUGUGAAACACAGACUUUUUCACUGCCAUCUCGGACACACAAGAAGAUGACCUUUAGACUUAAGAAGGGUCUUGGCUACAGGGGUUCAUGAAA
rnacentral:lncRNA from 1 species